rnacentral:lncRNA from 1 species
GGCCCUGGGGAUUCUGGUGGCUUUUAAAAGACACUCAAUUCAAAGGCCGGUGUCUUGAAUCACAUUUUGGAAUUGGCUUGUGCUUUUUCCUGCUAAUUUUCUUCGCUCCUAAUUAACAUGCCAUGAAAACUCUAAAAUCAGCACAAUAUGAAAGACAUUUGCCUCUUUGUAACAGCAGAUCGGGGUGCAGGAAGAGCACUGAUGUGACUUUAUUGAUGACAUGCUGGGACAGAUUAAAUAUAGAAGUAACGUAAUUAAGCCUGAGUUUACUGUCUAUAAUGAGUCCCCUGUAUUUGAGAUCACUCAGCUGCCAUUAAUGAAUGUUUGAUUUCAGUCCACCGCAGGCUUGACUGCAGCUCCGGUAAUCAAUUACAGCUAGUUUGCUGUCUUGAACGUAAUCCAUGUGCAGCCAGGAUUCCAACCAAGUGAUGUGAAGCGAAGGCAAAGUAGUGUUGGCGGAAAGACCUGUUAAAACUCAAGACGUGACCCAAGAAGACAGACAAGGAAGGCAGCGUACAACGGUCCACGUUCUACUCGUGAAUACGACAGUGAACCAAGCCAAAACCCAGUAAGAUGCUUCAAGCUGAGGGAAGACGUGGUGACCUAAAGGCAAGAGAAGAAAAGGCAACGAGCUCAAGGAAUCAAAGCCUGGAGCACUCAGGUGUAGAGGCAGCCAGCACGAGAGAUGGAUCAACCACGCCCCUAGAGGACAAAAUAGAGCAUCGCAGCCAAACACAGACCAGACACAGGAUCAUAACAACACCAAUACCCCAUCUCAUCUCAUCUGCCAAGAAAAAAUGAAAGAUAUAAAUUCAGUGAAGCCUUGAUUUAAGCCAAGGAGAAGCAACAGGUUUUCCUGAGAGAAGUUAAUGCUGACAGUUAUCUGAGUUCGAAAGAGCAGAAGCUAAAUAAAGGUCAUACGAGUAAAGAAACACACACACACACACACACACACACACACACACACACACACACACACACACAAACACAUACUUGUUGCAGCACCAUUUUAUUACUAACAAUGGUUCUACUACAGAAAUCACCCAACUGACGCUACCCCAGGCGACCAGUUUCAUUCCCGGUUGACAUCAUGAGUAUCAUCAUUAGAAAACCGGAAUACCAUUAUGGGGAAAGCUCAAAAGGAAUCCAAUUGUACUUGUAGCAAUUCCAUUGACAAAUAACUUCUUUUUAUUUUUGACAAUUCGCCCUGCUUCUAAAAACUGUUCAGCCACAAUCACUUUUGUGCUGCUUGUUUCACUUUCAUAUUGGAGCAUGAGCCUUGAGCAGCUCCAGCAGUGAACGUGGGAAGGCACAAAUGUCACAUAAAAGAAGGACAUUAGUGUUUGAUCGCGUUAAUCCCAUACGCGCUGGUUCAAGUCAUUGUAAAGCAUAUUUGAAUGUGUCGUUCGCACCCAGCAGACGUCACAGCGUUUCUGAACGCAGCUCCCAAACGGAAACAGCUUUAAUUGAACCUGCUUCUUUGUAUCCCAGCUGAUUUUAAUUGUCCUUCAUCAGGGCUCCAGCAUGCUCUCAACGUUCUCACGUGGCAGAACAUGAGCCUAUGUAAUAAGUUUCUCUCUGUUUCCCACCAACGGUACCAAAAACAAAACACAGCACAAAAAAUGAGACUGUGAAACAUAAAGGAACAAAUCUUGGCUGAAGCAGAUCAUGUUUCUCUGAGAGCAAGUGUGAACGAGAAAAUUCUCUUACAAAUACAUAAAUUCAGAUGUUUCCAGCUACCUGUAUUUAUUUUAUCGAUUUUAAACCAGGAUAAAUGUUUAGGUUUUGACUCAGGAUUUAACUGUACAAAAAGCUCUGAUCAAGCGGCCUAAAUAAUUUAUUUAUGCUGUCAAAUUCUAAAAUUCACACUGAAAACAAACAUUUUCACUUCAAAAGAUAGCGUGCAGGUGGAUUUCUUUGGCUGCCGUUCACACAUACCACCAUUCCAAAAAUGAACACACUUUGUUCAGAGGAAGAACUGCUGUUGCAUCUGAGGACGAAAGAGUUGAAAGUUUGGGGACAAAAAUAUGACAGAGAAAGCAGAACCUCCCGCAUGUGCUCAAUGCAUAAGAAUUAGCAAUGAGGCAACAGCAGGCAUCUGCUGGGCACAUGCUAUGCUUUUAAUAGAGACCCGCCGUGGCCCUGUUUAGUCACGGAACCCCUUUAGCAUCUCUCACUUGUACAUGUGACGAAUGUACUAGUACAUUCCAUGCGUGAAAAAUGCUGAGUCAGCAGGAAUAAAUGCACAUUUACAUCACGCUAUCUGUCCUUUUUUGGACUGAAGCCAUUGCACUAUUCCCUCGCUGUUUGAGCGAUUAUAUACAGUAUAAUUCUUUUUUUUGGGGGGGGGGGGGCGGUUAUGGAUUAAGUGAAAACCGUACUACAUGCUGAUAUCCUACAUUUUGACAAUUUCUAACACUCCACAGCAUCUAAAUGAGACCAUCCGUGACUUUUACUGAGCUGCACCUUCAUCCUCUCCUCACCUUAGCCGUGCAG